AUAUCAGUAAGCGGAGGAGAAGAAAUUAACAAAGAUUGCCCUAGUAGCGGCGAGCGAAGAGGCAAGAGCUCAACUUGAAAAUCUGGCACGUUCCGUGCCCGAAUUGUAAUCUCAAGAGCUUUCCAGAAAGGGAUGAUUACGCAUAAGUUCCAGGAAAGGGACGUCAUAGAGGGUGAUAACCCCGUGUUAGGCGUGAUCUGAACUGCAUGGAGGGCGGCGAAGAGUCGGGUUGUUUGGGACUGCAGCCCAAAAUGGGAGGUAAACUUCUCCUAAGGCUAAAUAUUGGUGGGAGACCGAUAGCGCACAAGUA
rnacentral:rRNA from 1 species